rnacentral:rRNA from 1 species
GAUGAACGCUGGCGGCGUGCCUAAUACAUGCCAGUCGAGCGAACAGACGAGGAGCUUGCUCCUCUGACGUUAGCGGCGGACGGGUGAGUAACACGUGGAUAACCUACCUAUAAGACUGGGAUAACUUCGGGAAACCGGAGCUAAUACCGGAUAAUAUAUUGAACCGCAUGGUUCAAUAGUGAAAGACGGUUUUGCUGUCACUUAUAGAUGGAUCCGCGCCGCAUUAGCUAGUUGGUAAGGUAACGGCUUACCAAGGCAACGAUGCGUAGCCGACCUGAGAGGAUGAUCGGCCACACUGGAACUGAGACACGGUCCAGACUCCUACGGGAGGCAGCAGUAGGGAAUCUUCCGCAAUGGGCGAAAGCCUGACGGAGCAACGCCGCGUGAGUGAUGAAGGUCUUCGGAUCGUAAAACUCUGUUAUUAGGGAAGAACAAAUGUGUAAGUAACUAUGCACGUCUUGACGGUACCUAAUCAGAAAGCCACGGCUAACUACGUG